UAUAGAAGAAAAUCCAGCUUUUUUGAACAAAGAUACUUUGUUGCUUAUUUCUUAAGAGUUGGAGUUGAACUGGUUUCUUAAUUCUAAUUUAUACUAGUCAUCUUAGUGAUGACUUAUGUGAAACCCUAAGGUAGAAUUUUUAAGCGGUUUACCAGAUUUGGUACCAUUGAAUGUAUUUUUGCUUGCUUGUCUGUUUUUUUCCUCCCCUUCAAAACUGAGUUAAUAUUUUGCUAAUUUGCUAAGAUUAAGUCAUUUUUCUUUUUAAAGCAGUGCUAUUUUGCUUUUCUUAAAUUGAUUCCAUUUUACUAGAAAUCUUUCUUUUCAAGUGGAGAAAGGCUUUCAGGAGAUACUGAUUCUCGUCUUAAGCUCUCGUGGCAACUUGCAGGUAAUCUUGAGCAGACUGGAGUUUCACUUGCUCUAGUUACCUACCCUAUUUGUAAAAGAGUAGAUUGCAUUUUUUUUUCCUGAUCUGAAAAAUCAGUGGUUUUGCUCUAUAAAUCUUGAAAAUGUAAAAUAGAAAUCACUUUGUAGGCAUUGUGGGGUAGAUUGCUAGAAAAAUUUUACUAAUUCUGACUGACUUUUUGUGAAAUAAUGAUCAUUAAGAAAUAGUCUGAAAAGUCUGACUUGAUAGAGACUAUGUGAAGCUCUUUCCUCCUGGUAAUGAUGGUAAAGCAACCGAAUAUGUGGAGAGAGCCUAAAUGUUGGAUCUGACAAAUUUUUUUUUACAGAAAUUUGUGGAAUAUAAACCAUCUUAACUUUGUGUUCUUUUUGGAAAUCGUCAGAGAGGCCAUGCUUUAUUUUAGUGGUCUAUUUUAAAGAUGCUUGUGCUCUGAACAGAAUUUAAUAAAGACUGUUUUGCAUUCCUAGGUUAGUUUUAGAGGAGAUAAAUUCUAUCAAUGUUGGUUUUUAAGUCCACUUUGAGAUUCUUUGUAAGGUAAGCCACGAGUCUUUGUUUUGUUAGUUAAUCUGGAAACUCCUUUCACAUGGUAACUGCUAUCCUCUUUCCCAAAUUUUAUGGCUAUUGUGCUGUGGAAUUACAGCAAAUAAAACUAUAUCCUGUACAACUUACUUUGAACAAAUAAUUCCAGAUAAGUUAAUUAGUUUCAUUCUUGCUGUUCCUUUUUUAAAUAUGAAUUGCAGGAUUUAGAGAAAAAUAAACUUGAAUAUUAAGCUAGUUGGCACUCAGCAGAUAAUACUGACCAUACUCAUUUAAAAUACAAGUCUUCUUUAGUUUUUUACUGCAGUCUCACUUGAGCUUGAACACAGACAAGGGAAAAAGGGUGAUGAGAUGUGAGGAGAUUAUGAUGUUAAGGAACUUUAAAGGACAACAUAGUUGGUGCAUCUUUUGUUUAGGUUGAAAUUAAAUUUAGUGAGAUUUACAGUUUAAACCCUAAAUUACCUGUGGCCGUGUGGAUGAUGGAGCUUGUUACAAAGGGAGACCGGAAAGGAACCGGAAGAGUUCGGAUUCCGGCUGGCCUGAUCUGGGCUCACGGUAGCAUGAACUGUAUGAUCGCUUUCAGAGAGAACAGGCUAUAGCAUUAAAAACAUAAGAAAUAACUCUUUUGACUCUGAUUUAGUUUGGGAUAGAAAAAUACUGAGUUCUAGGCAACUUGGUGAAAGAUGCCUUCUCUGAUAACUGGUCAUAUGUGUAGUGAUAGUCACUUUUGAAUACUGUGAAACAGACACAUCAAUGAAACUAGUGAUAAGAUUAUUUACACUGAUAUGUUACACAAUUUUUAAGGAUUUUUCUUCUUUAGGAAAUAACUUUCCUAUUAGAUUUAUGAGUAUUAAAUUAUACUAAAUAAUUUUUUAAAGAAAAUUUCUUGUUGAAACUUUUUCACUAGCAAAUAUGGCUUGACUUAAAAAGAAAUGUCAAACUAUAUUU